rnacentral:rRNA from 1 species
GACGGAGGGUGCAAGCGUUGUUCGGAUUGACUGGGCGUAAAGGGCGUGUAGGCGGUCGGCCAAGUCCAAUGUGAAAGCCCGGGACUUACUUCCGGAAGUGCGUUGGAAACUAGUCGGCUAGAGCGCGAUAGGGGAGGGUAGAAUUCCUGGUGUAGCGGUGAAAUGCGUAGAUAUCAGGAGGAACACCGGCGGCGAAGGCGGCCCUCUGGAUCGUUGCUGACGCUGAGACGCGAAAGCGUGGGGAGCAAACAGG